UACGUAGGGUGCGAGCGUUAAUCGGAAUUACUGGGCGUAAAGCGUGCGCAGGCGGUUCGUCGUGUCCGAUGUGAAAGCCCCGGGCUCAACCUGGGAAUGGCAUUGGAAACUGGCGGGCUUGAGUGUGGCAGAGGGGGGUGGAAUUCCGCGUGUAGCAGUGAAAUGCGUAGAUAUGCGGAGGAACACCGAUGGCGAAGGCAGCCCCCUGGGCUAACACUGACGCUGAGGCACGAAAGCGUGGGGAGCAAACAGG
rnacentral:rRNA from 1 species